rnacentral:rRNA from 1 species
AUGUAUGGCUAUCUAUAUGACCUUGAUGGAAAAUACCAAAAUAAUAAAAUUUGGAAGAAGGCAAACAAACGGUUGCAGGAAGCAAACUUUUACAAAAAGAUGAAAAUGCAUACCCCUAGCAAAUUUGGAAAUCAAAAUUCCGAAGGUAGCUCUAGUAAAUUCAGGUUUAAUUUCUUCAAAAUAGAUACUUCAUGCUUGGGACCCUGUACUACUAUGCAGCGAGAGUGCACAUUUACUGUUUAUAAUUUCAGAGAUGUUGCCAACCCCACCAGGGCUAAUGCAAUUCUGUCAAGGGCAGAUGGCAACAGCAGUGGUGUUUUGCUGCAGGGACUGGCAUAUCUGAGGAAGAACCAGUUAUCGAAACUCGAACGAUUCACAUCAUUCAAAUUCUGCACAAAUGUAACAAUAAAUUCCUUAGUAUAA